AGCAGUGUAGCAUAGUGGUAAGGAGUGGGGCUCAUAACCGAAACAUCCCUGGUUCGAUUCCUCCGUGAGGCACUGCUG